rnacentral:misc_RNA from 1 species
GGAAUAAAAGUCGUAACAAGGUUUCCGUAGGUGAACCUGCGGAAGGAUCAUUAAUGAGUUGUCAUGGGGUUCGAUGCUGGCAGCCAAUUUUUGGAUGCAUGUGCUUGCCCUAACAAUCAUCUUCCAAACACCUGUGCACAUUUUUGAGGGAGUCUUGAGUUGGUUGCCGCUCUUGGGUGAUUUUCUCACAUUCCCUUAAAUCAUUAUACGCUAUUAACAAUGUUGAACGUGCUCUGUGCCGCAAGGCUAUUAAUAUAAUACAACUUUUAACAACGGAUCUCUUGGCUCUC